UGGGGAAUAUUGCACAAUGGGCGCAAGCCUGAUGCAGCCAUGCCGCGUGUAUGAAGAAGGCCUUCGGGUUGUAAAGUACUUUCAGCGGGGAGGAAGGUGUUGAGGCUAAUAACCUCAGCAAUUGACGUUACCCGCAGAAGAAGCACCGGCUAACUCCGUGCCAGCAGCCGCGGUAAUACAGAGGGUGCAAGCGUUAAUCGGAAUUACUGGGCGUAAAGCGCACGCAGGCGGUCUGUCAAGUCGGAUGUGAAAUCCCCGGGCUCAACCUGGGAACUGCAUUCGAAACUGGCAGGCUAGAGUCUUGUAGAGGGGGGUAGAAUUCCAGGUGUAGCGGUGAAAUGCGUAGAGAUCUGGAGGAAUACCGGUGGCGAAGGCGGCCCCCUGGACAAAGACUGACGCUCAGGUGCGAAAGCGUGGGGAGCAAACA
rnacentral:rRNA from 1 species